UAGUGCUGUACAUCGCCUCUUCCUGUUCCUUGGGGAGUGGCGGCUACUGUAGUGGCUACUGGCAGGAGAAGCAGGAAACUAUGAAGUCGACCGUAGAUAUUUAAUGAAGUUUAUACAUGCGCUCAGGAAUAGAGGAUCUUUCCACUUCUCUUAAGCCUUGCCAGAGAAGAAAGAGACGUCAGAGGAAUCCAAGGAGAAGGAGGAGAAAAAGAAGACUGAGGGGAAAAAGUGUGAAAAAAAGAGGGGGAAGAAGAUGAGAGAGAGAGAGGAGGAAGAGGACGAAGAGCCGGGUCCCUCUACCCAGUCCACGCCAAGCAAGAAGAAACCAGAAAAACCAUGUUAUGGUUCUCCCAUCAGAAAGGGGGAGAAGAAGCCCAUCUGGAAAUGGCUGAACUUCAGGAAACGGCUACCUGUCACCUGCGGCGAUAAGAAGGGCAUCCUUUACAGAGACAAGCUGCCCAAGGGUGAGCUG